CGGGCCGGGAGCGUCGCCCCACGUCUGGGGGUGGCUGCUGCUCGGAGGUUGCCUUCUCGUCGGAGCCCAGGUGGAAAAAUUUCAGCAAAACAGCACAACGCAACGAGAGAUCCAUAGCAGUGCUGGUCCAACAGAUGUGACUGCGGAAAGACAUGAAGUGAGGAGAAAAUAUCACAUAUUGGAGAACACAGAGUGAAGUGCAAAAUGAAUAACCUUGAAUCAGGUUUUCCUAGUCUGUUUAACUUUGGUGAAGCUUUCGCUUCAACAGAAUCUAAAACUGUGUUUUCUAAUUGAAUGGAUGUUGGUACCUCACUGUGUGAGGUAAGAAGACAAGGGACAGCUAAAACAAAGGGCACACUAGGGCUCCGGGGGAUCUGUGAAUGUGAAUGAAGCAGAUGGCCUUGAAACAAGAGGAGCACGUGGUCAGUGGAGAGAUGAGAAAAGCAAAGGAGAAUGGGGCGGAACACAUGUUCAACUGCACACAUUCAAACUGGACACUUGUCAACGAUUUGUGCUUCUUUUGAGUUCCUGUAUGAUUAGAAGACAGUGAUGUGAUCUGGAAAAUGGAUAAUAAAUUAUUUAGUA